GCCAAAAUUCUAGCUCCCCACUAACCCCAUGUACCUUACUCCCUAACUCACCCUAACCAAAACAUUUUUACAUUAUAGUAAAGGAGAUUGAAAAAUUUACUGAAGCAAUAAACCUAGUACCGCAAGGGAAAGAUGAAAUAUUAAUGAAAAUAUUUAAGCAAAAAAAAGUAGAGCCCAACUCUCGUACCUUUUGCAUCAUGGUUCAACUAGUCUAAUCAAGCAAAAAGCAUUACAGUUUGACCCCCCGAAACUAAGCGAGCUACUUCAGGGCAGCUUAAUGAGCCAACCCGUCUCUGUUGCAAAAGAGUGGGAAGACCCCCAAGUAGAGGUGACAUAUCUAACGAGCCUAGUGAUAGCUGGUUACUCAGGAAAAGGAUCUUAGUCCAACCUAAAGUCUUACCUUUAUGCCAAAAACACCUUUUGACUUUAGAGCAAUUCAAAUAAGGUACAGCCUAUUUGAAACAGGAUACAACCUAAUCUGACGGGUAAAAUUUAUAUCGACCCCCAUCCCCCAAGUAGGCCUAAGAGCAGCCAUCUUUUUAAAAGCGUCACAGCUUAGUCCCCCUCAAAAUCCCAAUUCCUCAUACUUACUUAAACCCUCUAACAUUACUGAGUAAUCCUAUACUUUUAUAGAAAAUUUUAUGUUGAAACUAGUAACAAGAAUAAAAACCUUCUCUUAAAUGCAAGUAUAAAUCAGAAAGGAUAAACCACUGAUAAUUAACGCCCGUGGACACAUAUUAGCAACCCCACAAGAAAACCCUAGUAUACCUCACGUUAACCUGACACAAGAGCAUUUCAAGAAAGAUUAAAAGAAAGAGAAGGAACUCGGCAAAUAUUAACCCCGCCUGUUUACCAAAAACAUCGCCUCUUGAUUAAAAAUAAGAGGUCCAGCCUGCCCAGUGACAAAUGUUCAACGGCCGCGGUAUCCUAACCGUGCGAAGGUAGCGUAAUCACUUGUUCUUUAAAUGGGGACUAGUAUGAAUGGCACCACGAGGGUUAUACUGUCUCCUCUUUCCAAUCAGUGAAACUAAUCUCCCCGUGAAGAAGCGGGGAUAAGACUAUAAGACGAGAAGACCCUAUGGAGCUUUAAACUUCUCUUCAAACGCCAGACUACUCUUACAAGUCACCGACCCCUUCAUACUUACCUCCGGCGCCAUGAAAAUGACUUUUAGGUUGGGGUGACCGUGGAGCAUAAAAAACCCUCCACGCUGAACUAGGUCUCCAAACCUUGAGCGUAGGGCUACAACCCUAAGCACUAAAAAACUAACACCCAUUGACCCAAUAUUAUUUGAUCAACGAACCAAGUUACCCUAGGGAUAACAGCGCAAUCCACUUCAAGAGUCCCUAUCGACAAGUGGGUUUACGACCUCGAUGUUGGAUCAGGGUAUCCCAGUGGUGCAGCCGCUACUAAUGGUUCGUUUGUUCAACGAUUAAAACCCU
rnacentral:rRNA from 1 species